rnacentral:rRNA from 1 species
AUGAUGCAACGUUGAAAGUUGGCCUUUGGCUAACACUGUAGGAUGGGCCCGCGGCGCAUUAGCUAGUUGGUAAGGUAACGGCUUACCAAGGCCACGAUGCGUAGCCGACCUGAGAGGGUGAUCGGCCACACUGGGACUGAGACACGGCCCAGACUCCUACGGGAGGCAGCAGUAGGGAAUCUUCCGCAAUGGACGAAAGUCUGACGGAGCAACGCCGCGUGAGUGACGAAGGCCUUCGGGUCGUAAAGCUCUGUUGUUAGGGAAGAACAAGUACCGUUCGAAUAGGGCGGUACCUUGACGGUACCUAACCAGAAAGCCACGGCUAACUACGUGCCAGCAGCCGCGGUAAUACGUAGGUGGCAAGCGUUGUCCGGAAUUAUUGGGCGUAAAGCGCGCGCAGGCGGUCUCUUAAGUCUGAUGUGAAAGCCCACGGCUCAACCGUGGAGGGCCAUUGGAAACUGGGGGACUUGAGUGCAGAAGAGGAGAGUGGAAUUCCACGUGUAGCGGUGAAAUGCGUAGAUAUGUGGAGGAACACCAGUGGCGAAGGCGGCUCUCUGGUCUGUAACUGACGCUGAGGCGCGAAAGCGUGGGGAGCGAACAGGAUUAGAUACCCUGGUAGUCCACGCCGUAAACGAUGAGUGCUAGGUGUUGGGGGCUUCCACCCUCAGUGCUGAAGUUAACACAUUAAGCACUCCGCCUGGGGAGUACGACCGCAAGGUUGAAACUCAAAGGAAUUGACGGGGGCCCGCACAAGCAGUGGAGCAUGUGGUUUAAUUCGAAGCAACGCGAAGAACCUUACCAGGUCUUGACAUCCUCUGCCACUCCUAGAGAUAGGACGUUCCCCUUCGGGGGACAGAGUGACAGGUGGUGCAUGGUUGUCGUCAGCUCCUGUCCU